CAUAAGCAGUGACAAGCACAGUCGUCCUAGCUGGUAACGGCUAGUGAUAAUCAUCGGGUGAAUUGCUGGGAACCCCUUAGAGCUUUCUUCCCCACAACGGAGUUGGAAACAACAAACGUGAUGGGUUGAAAAGAAGAAAGAUUGGGCAAUCAGCAGCCAAGCUCCUGUCUCGAAAGAGUGGAGAAGGUUCAACGACUAGGAUAGACCAUCUAAGGCGAGAGCUAUGAUGAUGAAAUCCGUAGGUGAAACAAUGGAGUUCCAACAUUGUGAAUCCGAAGUGCCCGACCCCGAACAGGUGAAGCUGAGGGUGAAGAUGUAGUCUAGUCAUUUGUGAAAGCAAAUG
rnacentral:ncRNA from 1 species